AAGCAAUCACCCUUAAUCUAACGAACUUUAUUCUAAAAUUUAACAAGUCAAAAAUAAAUUAUUCCUUUUGUAUAAGGAAAGGAAAACCCUCUAAAAAAUAAAAUUUUUCCGAAAAUUUUUGAGCAAAGGCAACUAAAUUUAAAAUGGCAUAUUUUUCUGUCUUAGUAGAUACAAUCUUUCCGAAAAAAUUAAUAUCUGAUAAGUUUAUAACAGAAAAGGAAAGCCUUUCUUUAGGAGCUUUAGUUAAAUUUUAUAAAUUAUAAAUUGCUAAAAGUUUUUAAAAUUUUUCAUAAAAUUCAUCUUUGGUUCUACUCACUCCUCACCAAAAGAUAAUAAAAUAAAAUUUUCUUAUUAGUAUAACAUAAACACUUUUAAUAAUUAUUAAAUCAAAUAAAUAAAUAUAUUUAUAAAAAACUAAAAGAAAAUUCUUUUGAAUGCUUAACAAAAACUUUUCUAUUAUAAUUAAUAGAAGUCCCCGCCAAUUAGAAUUUUCCAAAAGGCCGAAGGAUUUUUACUUCGCGAAGGUAGCGAAAUAAUUUGGCUAUUUACUGUAGUCCAGAAUGAGUGGGAAAACAAGAGAUUUCUUUUUUAUAAAUAAAAAUAAAACCUAACCUAUCCUUGAAAAUCAGGAUUAAAUCUUUUUAGACGAAAAGACCCCAGGAUCUUAUAUUUUUGAAAAAUUUUAUUGGGGCAAUACUUUUAAAUUAAAAGGAUGUAUAUUUUAUCAACUGUUCUAACAAAUAAGAAAGAUACCCUGGGGAUAACAGGGUAAUUUUCUAAAAGAGAUCACAUCCAAUAGAAAGAUUUCUACCUCGAUGUUGGCUUUCCUAUUUCUUUUAGGGGAAGAAUAUUAAAAGAUUAAGUCUGUUCGACUUUUGAUAGGAACAUGAGCUGAGUUCAAGUCGGCAAAAGCCAGACUGGUUUUUAUCUAAAAAUAAUAGAAGAAAAAUCCAGUACGAAAGGACAAAUUUUUCUUUCUAAGAAAAGACAAAUUUUGAAUUAAAAUUUUCUAAA
rnacentral:rRNA from 1 species